rnacentral:rRNA from 1 species
GGUUGAUCCUGCCGGUAGCCAUACGCUUAGACAGAAGACUAACCCAUGCAUGUGUCAGUAUAAGCAAUUAUACAGCGAAACUGCGAAUAGCUAAUUACAACAGUUAUAGUUUAUUCGGUAUUCCCUCACUAGUCGGAUAACUCACUUGGAAAACUGGAGCUAAUACGUGCUUUCAAGGGCGACUCAAGAAGCCUGGCAUUUAUUAGAUUAAACCAACUGGCCUAUCGGCCAUGUGGUGAUUCAUAAUAACUCAGCGGACCGACGCAAGUCGGCAGACCGAACAAAUUUCUGC